CACGUAGGGGGCAAGCGUUGUCCGGAAUCAUUGGGCGUAAAGCGCGCGUAGGCGGCCAGAUAAGUCCGGUGUGAAAGUCAAAGGCUCAACCUUUGAAUGCCGCUGGAAACUAUCUGGCUAGAGUCCGGAAGGGGCGAGUGGAACUCCUGGUGUAGCGGUGAAAUGCGCAGAUAUCAGGAAGAGCACCUAUGGCGAAGGCAGCUCGCUGGGACGGUACUGACGCUGAGGCGCGAAAGCGUGGGGAGCAAACAGG
rnacentral:rRNA from 1 species